UCACACACACCUACGGGCAAUGGAGAGAAGCCAAUCAACCUAAUGCACGUCUUUGGACUGUGGGAGGAAGCUGGAGAGAACGGUGCUACCCACCGCACCACCGUGCCGUUAAGUUAUUAAUUAUAAAAGUUUUACAGUAUGAAAUGGUGGCGACAGUUUUUCUAUAUAUGCAAUAUUUUGUUUCGUAGUUUUCCAUAUUUUGAACAGACCAGACGUGUCGCUAUGAAAAGAGGAAGUCGCGAAGAGCGUGUUUUGUGCUCUGCUGUAAAGCGCGUAAUACGGGCGCAAGACGUUUUUGAAGCGCGGCUGGCUGAACGACGGAUGAACAAACGACGGCUCACUUGACUGCAGUUGUCAGCACCUAAGUAAACAGUGGGUGAAGCGAAUCAGAGUCAGAGCGGUGCAGGUCUCAGCUGACGGUUGAAAGUGAAUGCUACGAACUAAAUAAACAAUCACGUGAUUCUGCACUGAAAUCCAAGCCUCUCUAACAACUGCAUUACAUAUCAGGCUGUUUAAAAGCAUUGGUAAAGUAAACGUGCUUACCUAAAGCAAAGACGUUUUUAUUGUGGUCUGAUAAACGAUCACACAGAGUCGCAAGGGCAGCAUUAUUAGAACAUACCCACCUUAACUCCAGCUGUUUUAUAACAUAGCAUGGCAUUGCUAAUAGUCUGUCGGCUAACAUGCUACAUGAACGUCUGAUAAAAACACACCAGUUUCACGUUCGCGCAACUGCAUCACCUCCGCAAUUCACGAGAGUAACGCCACACUUCAUACACAAGGAAAAUAUGAGCAGUCAUGUCUUUCUGAUCAUUAAAUAUUAUUAAAGUCAUCAGUCAGUGGACUAGCUUGUUGCUAUGUACUGCUUGUGGAGCUUUCGGGAUUUGCUGUGCCACGUCAAAAGACUGCGACAACUUCCUUGUUCAUUAGCCAAUCAGAGCGUGGAGGCAAAGUAAGGUGACGUUAUUUUACUUGUAAAUUUAGCCACGAUUUGUUUUUGAAUUUUAAUGCUCCAAAUUAUAAGUGUAAGCAUUGUACGAAUCUGAUUACACCCGCACAGAUCGGUUUACGCACACUCAGAUUUGAUUACACACUCACAGAUCGGUUUAUGCAUGCACAGACUUGAUUACUCACGCAAGCACGUGGUUACGCACGCACAGAAUUGUAUACGCAAGCACGAAUCUAAUCUGACUCUACUUUGACUCCAUAGAAGAAAGAUAGAACUUAAGUGUUUCUGCUCCACUUUGUCUUCCAGCUGCCAGGUGGCGCUGUUUUAUCCAGUGUUUGCCCUGUUUGUUCAUUUGUAGUGUCUUUCCACGUUUGGAUUCUGGAUCUGGAUUUCCACGUUUGGUUCUUGUUUGUAAUGGCGGUAACUUGUUUUACAUGUGGGAUUAGUUUGGUAAGUUAAUUUGAUUCAUGUUUACUUAUUGUCAGUUUCUAUGUCAAUUUUAAUGACAGUGUUAGUUGCAAUAUUGGUGAUGCUAUAUUUUACUGACCAAAAUGUUAUGUUUACAUUUUUUAUUUUCAUAUUUAUUUUGUCUGUAUUUAUUUAAGGUUCAAUGCUGGUCCGGAACAAAGUUUUAUCUGUUCUGUCCGAACAUAUUUUAUUAGUGCACAAAGGAAAGCAAACAUGUGAAAGAAAGCGGCAGUUUAAGAAAAGAUGCUAAACUUUCACAGUGUUUGUUUGUUUGUUUUGAUUUGAUUUAUUUGACGUUUCCAUUCCCUCUUCCUCUGUGUGUGCAGCCAGUGAGGUAUGACGUUUGUUUUCUGUCGUUCAUUCAUUUAUGUACUCGUGUUUUUUUUCUUUAUGGCACAUGCUUAGUGUGUUACGUAUAUCUUGUGAUUUGAUGGUGGACAUUGGUGGAUUUCGGGCAAUACCAUAAGAAAAUAAGGAGAAACAAGCACGGCUCAUCAGCCCGGCCUGCCUGCUGGGGUCACAGCUCGUAUCAGAAAGCAUCUAGCGCUGUAUUGGAUAUUGUUCGGUAUUGCGUCAUGGACAAUAAAUUCUAAAUCUUUUUAACCAUAAAGACUGUCAUUGGAUUUGUUUAUCAGGUGAAGUUAAACAAAAGUCAAUAAGUGUGUGGACAACACAUAAAAACUUAAAACCUAGCAAGAUAAGUGGCUUUUAAGGUUAUGGAUGUGGUAAACGAACACUAUAAUAUUUGACCUUGUGACCAGAGUUAUGUGCACUGGACAUUAUAGAAGUUAUGGAAGGUCAUUCUUGGGUCAUCCCCCUAAAUGAACCACUGUGCCUCCGAUUAGUACAGUAUUUACCUUUUUCCUUUCUUACUUUCAUUUAGGCAUCAUGGAGGCCCCAUGUAUGUAGCAUGCUGUAGGAGUCUUGUUGGGUGCAGGUCACACACAAUGAAGCCAUACUUCUUCUAUUGACCCCUGUGAACUGGGGCCCGUUUCAAGAAGGAGGUUUAACAAACUCUGAGUUAAAACGAAACUCUGAGUUGAUCUACUCUGAGUUUGCAAACCUGGAGUUUUCGGUUCCAGAACAGCUGAAAAGAGUUGGUUUAAGCAAUUCUGAGCUGAUUGACUCAGAGUUAAGCGCGUGCACCGCGACGAUACAAAGCCCUGAUCAAUGGAGUGAAGAUAUUACGAGUCACCAUGGCAACAGGACAACAAAAGACGUCCGGAAAUGGAUAUGAUACGUCAAGCAAAUAGCGACUACGAGUCUAUAAUCCGUAGAAAAAGCAACACGGCUGCAGCGGCGAAAGAGAAAGAAUUAGCUUAGAAGAAAAUAGCUGCUCGAGUCAAUGCCCAACAGAAAGAAGGCAGAGGCUAAAACAACUGGUGGAGGACCUGCACCUCCACCAUUGACGCAUGCAGAGGAGAAGGCCCUCAGCCUGAACACUGGAGAGAGGCUGAGGCUGAAGAAAUUCAUCAGAACCCGUCACUCCCCAGGAUACAAGUGCAUGUGUAAAAUAUUCUGAUGGUAAUAUGUGAAUCUUCCUGUCACAACAGAAGCCCAGGAUGUUAGUGUGGAAGAACAGCAGGAGGAGGUCCGUCACAUUCUGCUGCACAGAUGCACACAGUUCAGUGAUGUUCAGUAAAUGCCAGAGUUCAAUUCUGUAAGAGUAAUGAGGAACAUGUCAUUUCAAGAUGUCAUGUAACUCUAAAUCUUCUGUAUUUUAAGUUACCGGUUAUUGAGUUGUUUAAACUAAAUCUCAAGGAAAUGUUAUACUUGUACCACAAAAUUGAAAAGCCAGAUCUAGAAAUUGAAAUUUCCAAACACAAGCUAGAGAUGAGUGUAUAGUUAAAGGUGAAUUGUAUGAAUUAUUGGAAGAAUUAUAAAAUCUAACAAUUGCCUUUGUAUUUGUAGGAAAUGAAAAAAAAAACAAAUAAAUUAUGAUUUACAUCUA